CCCCCAUGAUUCAGCGGUGUGGUUGUCUCCUCGGUACAGAGCAAGGACGCACAAGUCCUGCAUGCCAAGGUGAUGCAUUUUCUGGUGAAAUGAACCAUAGAAACGGAUGAUUACAUUGAAACAGAUCCUCUAUCAAGUAUGCCCAGGGGACUGGUUCUUUUUGUUGGAUCUGAAAGACUUUCACAUCUAGAUAGCCCCUCACCACAGACAAUUUUUGAGUUUCGCCUUUGAGGGAGUGGCAUAUCAAUACAUGGUCCUUCCCUUUGGACUGUCCCUAGCUCCUCGCACUUUUACGAAGUGCAUGGAUGCAGCUCUUUCCCCGCUGAGACAGAUGAGAAUCAGCAUUCUGAAUUACCCCAACAACUGCCUCAUCCUUGCCCCAUUGGAGGACGAGCUACUAUCUCACAGAUACUCCCUCCUCAGCUACUUAGAAUGCCUAGGCCAAGAGUGCUCUGUCCCCCAGCCAAUGGUUAUUCUCGUGGCCUCAUUCAAAGUUGGAGCCCCUUGCUCUCUCAAGGCAUUUCAGAAGAUGCUGGGCUUCAUGGCCUCUGCAUUUCCGGUACUUCAGUUGGGCCUGCUUCGCAUGCCACCCCAUCAGUACUGUCUAGGCCUUUCAGGCCUGGAUCCUUUCUGCAUAAUGGGCUCACUUUUGCUAUAUGGUAAAGCCAGCGCUUCAACCGUUUGCCUUCUUUACUGCAUGCUUUUGGCCCUCACUGAGUUCCGAGGCUGUAUGAAAAUCUCUUGGAAUGUUUACUCAAGGCUGGGCUGAACUCUGUGAGAUUGGCCGUAUUGCCUUCUGUGGGGCUUCCCUGCUAAAUAUUUGGUCAGUCUGGGCCCUGUUUGGUGCUUAAGGCAAGUUCAAGUAUUAGUCGUUCCUCUAUCAUAGCAUGGUGGGAUUGUACUGGUUACCCAUAGCAUCUUAGCAGACACAGUACGAGUGAAGUAUCAGUAGGGAACAUACUCAAUUUCUAAUGUAACAUUGGUUCCCUGAUAUACAGGAAUGAGUACUGCAUUGCUGGCCGUGCUGCA